rnacentral:lncRNA from 1 species
UAAGACGCUGAGGCAAGAGGCCGCUGUGGGGCCACUCGGAGCACUGUGUGUUCUCCCCUUCCCCGCUCCCACCCCUCAACAAGCUUAUCGCCUUCAAAAGCCAGGAACACCAUUCCACCGGGGUGUGCUCGCCAUGGUGUCCCCCAGAGUAAAGGAGAAUAAAACCUGGGGGUCAUCAGAGCGGCAGAAGACCCUAAGCUCACACAUUAAAAGCCUCAUUUGUAGCCAGUCAUGGUGCACUCGGCUGAUAUCCUAGCACUGGGGAGGCUGAGGCAGGAGGAUCGCUAUGAAUUUGAGGCCAGCCUGAACUACAUAGUGAGUUCAAGGCCAGCCUGAAGUACAUAGUGAAAAGGUUUGUUUUUUAAAAAAUUGAAACAAGGAAACAAAAAGCAUGAUUUGUGUUUUCUUCUGAGAAAAACUGCUUUUGCUUAAAAUCAGUGACUUGGCUCCGGGAGGAGGCCGGCGGGCGACUGGGAGCAGGACAGCGGGGGCUUCUGCUCUCCCUGUGUUUGGGUCUCUUGCUUAGGGUGGGGCUGCUCAGCCUGGCUGCCCCACUGGACCCGCACCCCAGCUUCUGCUGCAGCCCCUUCCCCUCCCCUCUCAAAGGGAUUUUCUGGGAGACGUCCUGAAAUCCACUUCUGUGACAGAAGUCAAGAAUGCAGUGCCCUGGCGAAGUCCCUGUCUUUCAAGGGACCUCCUGGGCCAUCUGGCGACAAGGCCACCACAUGAGUCCUGGGUCCAGCCCCGCGCCCUCAGUGGAGUUAAAGGGGUUCUCUGAUUCUGCUAUAAUCUCAUACUACAAUAUGAAUUCCAGAAGGACCGGGAUUAUUGUCUACGAGGUGUGCUCAAAAUAUAUGGUGUGCAUCUAAACAGAAAACACACAUACCCUGCCGUUCUUGCCACUCUCUGGAGCAGCUCCGGGUCUCAUGAGGGUCUCGAGCUGUGGCUGCCUUACAUCGUGAGUGAUUCAAAACAUUUCCCUUCCAUGCUCAUUUUAACUUUGGGGAAGAGCCAGAGUCGCAGGGUACCACACAGUGAGAGGCGGACGAGGACACGUUGCGUUUUUAUGUGCCCGCCUUUUCACUGGGUGGACAGCAGCAU